CCUACGGGGUGCAGCAGUGAGGAAUAUUGGUCAAUGUGCGUAAGCCUGAACCAGCCAAGUCGCGUGAGGGAUGAAGGUUCUAUGGAUCGUAAACCUCUUUUAUAAGGGAAUAAAGUGUGGGACGUGUCCUAUUUUGUAUGUACCUUAUGAAUAAGGAUCGGCUAACUCCGUGCCAGCAGCCGCGGUAAUACGGAGUCUCCGAUCGUUAUCCGGAUUUAUUGGGUUUCAAGGGUGCGUAGGCGGCCUUUUAAGUCAGCGGUGAAAGUCUGUGGCUCAACCAUAGAAUUGCAGUUGAAACUGGGGGGCUUGAGUAUGGUUGAGGUAGGCGGAAGGCGUGGUGUAGCGGUGAAAUGCUUAGAUAUCACGCAGAACCCCGAGUGCGAAGGCAGCCUGCCAAGCCAUGACUGACGCUGAUGCACGAAAGCGUGGGGAUCAAACAGGAUUAGAUACCCGUGUAGUC
rnacentral:rRNA from 1 species